GAUUCUGGCUCAGGAUGAACGCUGGCGGCGUGCCUAACACAUGCAAGUCGAGCGGAGAUAGGUUGAAGCCUAGCGAUUCCUAUCUUAGCGGCGGAUGGGUGAGUAACACGUGGGUAACCUGCCCUGUACUGGGGGAUAACAGCUGGAAGCGGCUGUUAAUACCGCAUAUGCGCACGGAGCCGCAUGGCCCUGGGCGGAAAGAUUCAUCGGUACAGGAUGGGCCCGCGCCGGAUUAACUUGUUGGCGGGGUAACGGCCCACCAAGGUGAUGAUCCGUAGCCGACCUGAGAGGGUGACCGGCCACAUUGGGACUGAGACACGGCCCAAACUCCUACGGGAGGCAGCAGUGGGGGAUAUUGCACAAUGGGGGAAACCCUGAUGCAGCGACGCCGCGUGAAGGAAGAAGUAUUUCGGUAUGUAAACUUCUAUCAGCGGGGAAGAAGAUGACGGUACCCGCACAAGAAGCCCCGGCUAACUACGUGCCAGCCGCCGC
rnacentral:rRNA from 1 species